AGACAAACGCUGGGAUUCUUGAGAUCCUUGAGGAAAGUCCAUGCUCGCACAGUCUGAGAUGGCUGUAGUGUUCAUUCUUAGGGAAAAAAUAACCUAAGGUAGUACUUGUACUAACGGCGGAUACUAUAUCUAAGUCUUUGAUAUGAUAUAGUCCAUAAAGUGCCACAGUGACGAAUUCUUUGGAAACAGAGAAGUGAAACGAGGUAAACCCAAUGAGCGAGAAACCCAAAUUUUGGUAGGGGAGCUCCAUUUUCGAGAAAUGAAUUGAAGUGGAGACCAGUAAUGGUAGAUAAAUGUUUGUCGCUUAGGAAACUAAGAACAGAACAUGGCUUAUU
rnacentral:RNase_P_RNA from 1 species